GUUUAAAUGAGCAAGUAUUAAUUUUAUUACAUGAGCUUUUUAAAGGCCAAGUUAUAGUGAUAUACGUUUGAAUUAGAAAUGAUGUCGCUAUGGCUGAUAAGAACACUAGGACAGAUCAGUGGUGGAGGGUUGCAGAUGGGUUAAAGCGUCUGAGAAAAGGACUACAACAUUUUGUAGAUAGGAGGUCCCGCACUAUUUACACUGACUUUUGCAUUCGUGGAUUAACGUCUGCAGUAUGCAACACAUGUCAGCUUAACAUACCUUGUCCAAAUGGUGCGUAUAAAACAACUACACGGAUAGGUUACUCGUUUUGUAGCAACACAAUUUGCGAUCUUGUUUGCGAUAGGAUUCUUUCAAAGUACUUUCCGUAUAAGAAAACGCCGAUUUGGGCGAACACUGACUCGACAAAGUGGAGCGACCAAAAUAUUGGAUAUUGGAAAGUUGCAAAGUGCUUUCUGAGUUGUCCUGGUUAUUUCGACAAAGAAGGACCAAUCACAAUUGAUGCUAGUGGACUAUUUAGCAUCUGUUUGAACAACACGGAUAUACGAUCGUCCAUAUCGAACAUACAGAUAUUUGAAGAGGUGCGUGAUAUACGAAAUAAGGUCAAUCAUACUCCUGAUUACAAGCUCGACAAACAGACAGCUGAUGAAGAUUUUGGGAAAGUGAUUGAGGUGUUAAACGAUGCUAAUGAGUUACGACACGACUAUUUUGCAGUUGUAAACCGCCAACGACUAAAAAAAAUAAAAAACGAAAAUAUAGAAUGCGGUUGGAAAGAAUCAACCCGAAGGGAAUUAGACUUGAAUGAUGUCGACGCAGGCGAAGAAUACAACAUGUUCGAUUCAAGUCAAAUGUCAGUUCAGAAGAAAGAAUUCACUUCACUGCCACAUUAGUAAGGAUGUACGCCUUGCUCAGGGAGGAAAUGAAAAAGGAAACUGCAUUGAGACUAAGAAAGUAUAUUUUACCGAGAGCGUUAUUGUGCGACAAAGAUAAAGCAAGACAGUUAUGUCGUAAAGAUUUAGUUGAGGACACCUUGAAGCGGGUCAUCUUUUCGAGUUGCAAAACGACUAAAGAUGAAUUUAAAGAACAUUUUGCAAAAGACAAAGCCGGGGCUAAACUUGCAAAAAUGCUUGAACAGUGCAACGUACUCACUGAGGAAAUAGAAGUGAACCUACCCGCUCAUAGUAUUCUGCAUUCACGGUCAUCCCCUUUGGUACAGCGUGGUGGAGCAACAUCUCCUGGGAGUCUAUGAAGAAAAUACAUGCGUUGUGUUGUUGAUCUGGAUCUUUUUGCCGUUGUUUUUUUUUUUUGGGGGGGGGAGAUGAUGGAUGAUGGCAAGCCAUAGAGGCUAACUUUGUUUCUGGCACGUAUAGGCUAAUGUAGGAUUCGUCUGUGGUUUUUAUUCGCUGUAAGAACCUGUCUUCCUCUCGUUCGUAUCCACAGAUUUACUCUUGAGAGGCCAUUACACGGACCGCCUUUUCUUCUGUAGGGAGCUGUCUUGGGACCCAUAUGGCACUUACUUUUGAUAAAUUGAGAUUUUCUUUUCAGCUGAACGGAGUCGCCAGUUUUCCUUACUGUCCUCCGCCGGUCUAUUUUUAAGAUGCUCCUUCUGAACAAACGUCACUUUCACUCACGACUGACAGCCUGCCGCUCCGCUACGCCAACAUGUUCAUGUCCGUCACUAAAACGUCCAUGCCAGCGAACUACCAAAGAGCUUGAACAUGUUGGCUUUGAUUUAUCCUGUGUUAGAAACUUAGGAGUCAUUCCGCUGCGAACAAAGUGUUUGAUUACAGCCCGCUGCUCCGUGCGUGACGUCAACGUUGGAGUUUUUCUCGACAUCUUGGAAAUGCCUUUUUACUUCCGUUGACCGUUACAAACUUGUUUACAGUUAGAUGACGUCAAUAAUUUGUGCAGUUAUGCAGAUAACGUCAUACUGUUGUUAUAUGUUUUAACGUAGCGAUUUUGCGUUUAUUAUUCAGACGGAGUAGUAUGUAUGAAUUGUGAAUAAUUCUCAGAAAACGUCAAUUUGAAUCGCUACAUGGGUUGUCUUGACAAAUAUUUCCCUCCUUAGUAUUUGAUUACAUGCUAGUAAUGUUAGGUUUCAAAAAGAAACUCUUGGAUAGUCUAUAAACAGAGCUAUCUUGUGUCUGUAUAUUCAUAUUAAAACGUUUUGAAAUAUAGAAUCACUCUCAAACCUUUAAGGACAUCCCUCGUAUAUUGCAUGCUUAAGCUUACCAAUACCGAAAAUGUUCAAAUUUCCACUUAUACAUCCAGACCAAAAAUGAAAAGUCAUAAGUGUACUUUGCGUAAAUGUGAAGACACAAAUCUAAACUAAGAUACUCCUGCUCCGAUUACCAAACAAGGUAAUACCUAACAAAAGGUAGUGUAAAUUUUACAUUGCUACAGAUAUGUAAAACUAUGUUUAAAAUAAAUAUGACUAAUAUAAUGACCAUUCGAUGUGAGAAAAUAACAGACAUACAAAAUGAGAUUUAUGCAUUUAUUUCAGAAUUUCGAAAUCUGCAGAAAAGGCGAACUCAUCAACAAUUUGAAUUCAAGAAAUGCGUUCGUGAUAUAGCGAUUAUCAAUCCCUUGAGUGAUUUAGACAUGAUUGCGGACAAACUGUUAUCAGCAUAUAUCAUUAACUUGACAGAGCAUAGCUACAUUGUACAAACGCAUGACAAAAACUCCAAACUUGAUAUGUUCAAGACAGCAAUCAGUCGAUGUGACAAAGGUGUUUUUACCGAUAUUGAAAGACAAAUGUUCAGAACUUAAUAUUAAAUGCAUUCUUUAUGACGAUGAUGGAAGUCCAGAAACAGGUGCUGGGGAAAAAUCAACUGAAGAUGCCGUCUUGUCAUCCCCAAAUGUGAAAUGGUUUUUGAGUCAAGGCUGUUGCUUUAAGUCAGCAGAGAAAGGGUCGAUAAUUUUGACGUUCGGUUAUUCCGAUACCUUGACACUCACGAAUGUUUUACAAGAGUGUAAAAAUGGGAAUUUUGACGAUUUUGUGAAUGACAUUUUCACAGAUGAACCUGUUCUGAGGACAAUUCCAGAGGGGGAGCAUAACGUCCAUGUUGAAAUAAAAACUAAAGGCA